rnacentral:rRNA from 1 species
AGCGGAGGAAAAGAAACCAACAGGGAUUGCCCCAGUAACGGCGAGUGAAGCGGCAACAGCUCAAAUUUGAAAUCUGGCCCCCCGGGGCCCGAGUUGUAAUUUGCAGAGGAUGCUUUUGGCGAGGCGCCUUCCGAGUUCCCUGGAACGGGACGCCACAGAGGGUGAGAGCCCCGUCUGGUUGGAUGCCGAGCCUCUGUAAAGCUCCUUCGACGAGUCGAGUAGUUUGGGAAUGCUGCUCUAAAUGGGAGGUAUAUGUCUUCUAAAGCUAAAUAUUGGCCAGAGACCGAUAGCGCACAAGUAGAGUGAUCGAAAGAUGAAAAGCACUUUGAAAAGAGGGUUAAAUAGUACGUGAAAUUGUUGAAAGGGAAGCGCUCAUGACCAGACUUGGGCCCGGUGAAUCAUCCAGCGUUCUCGCUGGUGCACUUUGCCGGGCUCAGGCCAGCAUCAGUUCGCCCCGGGGGAGAAAGGCUCUGGGAAUGUGGCUCCUCCGGGAGUGUUAUAGCCCUCUGCGCAAUGCCCUGGGGCGGACUGAGGUCCGCG